UACGUAGGGCGCAAGCGUUAUCCGGAAUUAUUGGGCGUAAAGAGCUCGUAGGCGGUUUGUCGCGUCUGCCGUGAAAUCCCGAGGCUCAACCUCGGGCCUGCAGUGGGUACGGGCAGACUGGAGUGCGGUAGGGGAGAAUGGAAUUCCUGGUGUAGCGGUGGAAUGCGCAGAUAUCAGGAGGAACACCGAUGGCGAAGGCAGUUCUCUGGGCCGUAACUGACGCUGAGGAGCGAAAGCGUGGGGAGCGAACAGG
rnacentral:rRNA from 1 species